rnacentral:rRNA from 1 species
UUAGAUACCCUAUUAUUCUAGUAAAUGUCUUAAAUAUUAAUAGGUAUAGUCUUUAAACUUGAAGAAUUUGGCGGUGGUUUAAUCUUAUUAGAGGAACCUGUUUUUAAAUCGAUAAACCACGAAAAUCUUACUUGUUUUAAUGAGUCUAUAUACCGUCAUUAUCAGAUAAUUUUAAAAGAAUUAAUUAUUAAGAUUUAUGAAUUAAUAAAUGAAAUUAGAUCAAGGUGUAGCUUAUAAACAAGUUAAAAUGGGUUACAAUAAAAUAUAUUUAUAUGGAUUAGUUACAUUAAAAGUUCUAUAAAGGUGGAUUUAAUUGUAAUCGAAGUUUAAUAAGCUUCAAAGAUAUUGGCUCUAAACCAUGUACAUAUCGCCCG